rnacentral:misc_RNA from 1 species
AAGUCGUAACAAGGUCUCCGUUGGUGAACCAGCGGAGGGAUCAUUACGGGAAGGCCGAAAGGCUGCCUGAAACCACCGCGAACCCUUCCACGUUGCUUCGGCGGUUACCCGCCGGAGGUACGAAACCCUUGUGUAUUACAGCGGCAUCUCUGAGCACGAAACGAACGAGUCAAAACUUUCAACAACGGAUCUCUUGGUUCUG